rnacentral:sRNA from 1 species
UACAAUUGUUGAUGAACCGGAAUACGU